rnacentral:rRNA from 1 species
CCUACGGGGGGCUGCAGUGGGGAAUAUUGGACAAUGGGGGCAACCCUGAUCCAGCCAUGCCGCGUGUGUGAAGAAGGCCCUCGGGUUGUAAAGCACUUUCAGUGAGGAAGAACGCCUGGUGGUUAAUACCCAUCAGGAAAGACAUCACUCACAGAAGAAGCACCGGCUAACUCCGUGCCAGCAGCCGCGGUAAUACGGAGGGUGCGAGCGUUAAUCGGAAUUACUGGGCGUAAAGCGCGCGUAGGUGGCUUGAUAAGCCGGUUGUGAAAGCCCCGGGCUCAACCUGGGAACGGCAUCCGGAACUGUCAAGCUAGAGGGAAGGAGAGGAAGGUAGAAUUCCCGGUGUAGCGGUGAAAUGCGUAGAGAUCGGGAGGAAUACCAGUGGCGAAGGCGGCCUUCUGGACUGACACUGACACUGAGGUGCGAAAGCGUGGGUAGCAAACAGGAUUAGAUACCCUUGUAGUC